rnacentral:rRNA from 1 species
AGUUUGAUUAUGGCUCAGGAUGAACGCUAGCUACAGGCUUAACACAUGCAAGUCGAGGGGCAGCAUUUUAGUUUGCUUGCAAACUAAAGAUGGCGACCGGCGCACGGGUGAGUAACACGUAUCCAACCUGCCGAUAACUCGGGGAUAGCCUUUCGAAAGAAAGAUUAAUAUCCGAUAGUAUAUUAAAACCGCAUGGUUUUACUAUUAAAGAAUUUCGGUUAUCGAUGGGGAUGCGUUCCAUUAGUUUGUUGGCGGGGUAACGGCCCACCAAGACUACGAUGGAUAGGGGUUCUGAGAGGAAGGUCCCCCACAUUGGAACUGAGACACGGUCCAAACUCCUACGGGAGGCAGCAGUGAGGAAUAUUGGUCAAUGGACGAGAGUCUGAACCAGCCAAGUAGCGUGAAGGAUGACUGCCCUAUGGGUUGUAAACUUCUUUUAUAUGGGAAUAAAGUAUUCCACGUGUGGGAUUUUGUAUGUACCAUAUGAAUAAGGAUCGGCUAACUCCGUGCCAGCAGCCGCGGUAAUACGGAGGAUCCGAGCGUUAUCCGGAUUUAUUGGGUUUAAAGGGAGCGUAGGUGGAUUGUUAAGUCAGUUGUGAAAGUUUGCGGCUCAACCGUAAAAUUGCAGUUGAAACUGGCAGUCUUGAGUACAGUAGAGGUGGGCGGAAUUCGUGGUGUAGCGGUGAAAUGCUUAGAUAUCACGAAGAACUCCGAUUGCGAAGGCAGCUCACUAGACUGCAACUGACACUGAUGCUCGAAAGUGUGGGUAUCAAACAGGAUUAGAUACCCUGGUAGUCCACACAGUAAACGAUGAAUACUCGCUGUUUGCGAUAUACAGUAAGCGGCCAAGCGAAAGCAUUAAGUAUUCCACCUGGGGAGUACGCCGGCAACGGUGAAACUCAAAGGAAUUGACGGGGGCCCGCACAAGCGGAGGAACAUGUGGUUUAAUUCGAUGAUACGCGAGGAACCUUACCCGGGCUUAAGUUGCAUUUGAAUAAUCUGGAAACAGGUUAGCCGCAAGGCAAAUGUGAAGGUGCUGCAUGGUUGUCGUCAGCUCGUGCCGUGAGGUGUCGGCUUAAGUGCCAUAACGAGCGCAACCCUUAUCUUUAGUUACUAACAGGUCAUGCUGAGGACUCUAGAGAGACUGCCGUCGUAAGAUGUGAGGAAGGUGGGGAUGACGUCAAAUCAGCACGGCCCUUACGUCCGGGGCUACACACGUGUUACAAUGGGGGGUACAGAAGGCAGCUACCUGGUGACAGGAUGCUAAUCCCAAAAACCUCUCUCAGUUCGGAUCGAAGUCUGCAACCCGACUUCGUGAAGCUGGAUUCGCUAGUAAUCGCGCAUCAGCCAUGGCGCGGUGAAUACGUUCCCGGGCCUUGUACACACCGCCCGUCAAGCCAUGAAAGCCGGGGGUACCUGAAGUACGUAACCGCAAGGAGCGUCCUAGGGUAAAACUGGUAAUUGGGGCUAAGUCG